rnacentral:lncRNA from 1 species
CCUGGAGCGCACGGCGCUGCCAUGGGCCCCCGAGGAAGGCGCUGUUUCCUCCUGUGGAUGGACGACGGCCCAGUCCGGUUUCCUCCCUGGCUCCGGAGUUCACAGGAUUCAUCCUCAGGAAUGGCUGCAUGGAAGACGGGAGAAACCAGGAGUCUUGUGGCCAGUGCUUGGGGUGAAGCCACCACUCUGGAGGGGAAGAGGCAGGUCUCAUUCAGGCAAACACUGCUCUGCUGCCUUUGGGCUCUUCUUUCUUGCUUCCCUUCCUGCCAAAAUGGUGAUUUUCUAGGGGAACCGUGAGAUCUGUCCUGCAGUUUCUUCGGGCCUGGGAGCUCAGUAUUGUCACAGGGCUAUGCACAGAAGUAGACAGAAGAUAAAGAGUGGGCCCAUCCCGCCAAGGCUUCCCACCUCCCUCCUGCUGGGAGACAACGGAGCGUGCUGUUCAAACAGAAGCUCUGGUGGUGCACUGCCUGUGUUCAAAUUCCAGUUUU